CAUGGCUCAGGACGAACGCUGGCGGCGUGCUAAUACAUGCAAGUCGAGCGAAUCUGAGGGAGCUUGCUCCCAAAGAUUAGCGGCGGACGGGUGAGUAACACGUGGGUAACCUGCCUGUAAGAUUGGGAUAACUCCGGGAAACCGGAGCUAAUACCGGAUAACAUUUUGAACCGCAUGGUUCAAAAUUGAAAGACGGCUUUGGCUGUCACUUACAGAUGGACCCGCGGCGCAUUAGCUAGUUGGUGAGGUAACGGCUCACCAAGGCAACGAUGCGUAGCCGACCUGAGAGGGUGAUCGGCCACACUGGGACUGAGACACGGCCCAGACUCCUACGGGAGGCAGCAGUAGGGAAUCUUCCGCAAUGGACGAAAGUCUGACGGAGCAACGCCGCGUGAACGAUGAAGGCCUUCGGGUCGUAAAGUUCUGUUGUUAGGGAAGAACAAGUACCAGAGUAACUGCUGGUACCUUGACGGUACCUAACCAGAAAGCCACGGCUAACUACGUGCCAGCAGCCGCGGUAAUACGUAGGUGGCAAGCGUUGUCCGGAAUUAUUGGGCGUAAAGCGCGCGCAGGCGGUUUCUUAAGUCUGAUGUGAAAGCCCACGGCUCAACCGUGGAGGGUCAUUGGAAACUGGGGAACUUGAGUGCAGAAGAGGAGAGUGGAAUUCCACGUGUAGCGGUGAAAUGCGUAGAGAUGUGGAGGAACACCAGUGGCGAAGGCGACUCUCUGGUCUGUAACUGACGCUGAGGCGCGAAAGCGUGGGGAGCGAACAGGAUUAGAUACCCUGGUAGUCCACGCCGUAAACGAUGAGUGCUAAGUGUUAGAGGGUUUCCGCCCUUUAGUGCUGCAGCAAACGCAUUAAGCACUCC
rnacentral:rRNA from 1 species